UGGGGGAUAUUGCACAAUGGGCGAAAGCCUGAUGCAGCGACGCCGCGUGGGGGAUGAAGGCCUUCGGGUUGUAAACUUCUUUUGCUCUGAACAAGGUGCACCAUGGGGUGUGUUGAGUGUAGGGGUUGAUUAGCGCCGGCUAACUACGUGCCAGCAGCCGCGGUAAUACGUAGGGCGCGAGCGUUGUCCGGAAUUAUUGGGCGUAAAGGGCUUGUAGGUGGCUGGUUGCGUCUGUCGUGAAAGCUCAUGGCUUAACUGUGGGUUUGCGGUGGGUACGGGCUGGCUUGAGUGCAGUAGGGGAGGCUGGAAUUCCUGGUGUAGCGGUGGAAUGCGCAGAUAUCAGGAGGAAUACCGGUGGCGAAGGCGGGUCUCUGGGCUGUUACUGACACUGAGGAGCGAAAGCAUGGGGAGCGAACAGG
rnacentral:rRNA from 1 species